UUUUCCUUGUAGCCUCCCACAAGUGCUGGCGACUUCCAGAUCACGAUGAUGUACUGUAUUGUGGCAGUGAACCACAGCUCCUUCAGCAACUGCCUGCAGCCCAAUCUCCUUCUGUGAGCAGGUGGAACAGGGCCACGGGAUGUAGAUUCCAAUCUGCAGGUAGUGAAUGGGGCUUUUUUGCACAGAGGCUCUUUACACACAGAACUGUGACUCCUGGAGCGAGAUACGAUCUGUCCCACACAAGGACAGAGCUCUGCUAAGUGGCCCAUCCUGCUGGGCUGCAGCCCCUACCUGAGCGCUCUCCCACCUGAAGUCACACUGAUGCCCUUCAGAUGGUUUUCAUUUGAACUCCCAGAUCUUCUUCUACCUAUUUCCCAAACAAGAGGACAAACCUGCUUCUUUAACAACAACCAAGCCACCCUCGCCACACUGCAAAGAGCUUCCUUAGCAUCCAGGUUUGAAACACUCUCUUUUCCUUCCUAAUGUCUGUGUCCAUGCCUGUGCUUCCCCUAAGCUGCUGUUUCAGGGCUGCUUUUUGUACAAAAUUACCUCCUGAGAGCAAGUGUUCAGCUGCACUGUGAUACCCACUGGUGUGAGUACAGCUGCUCCUGUGUUGCAAAGUUCAGCGUCUGUGCAAGUCUUUGCAACAGUGGGAUUUUGGUUGGUGUGUCCCUUGGAUUUCGGAUCACUGAGAAGACAUCCAGAGCAGCCUGAAAGAACCCUUUCCUUGGUGCCUUGGUCUCCGGAGGUCACCCUGAGUGCAAUUACCUUCUCCAAGUGCUAUGUGAGGAGAUCUGGCAGAGCCACGUGUGACUCACAGUAGUGCAUUAUAACCGGUGUAACGCUGCCAGCUCCAAGGUGACCUUGCUGUGGCACAGCGUGCUGGCACCUCCAUGGAGCUCAGGCCUUGAACAGCCAGCAAGGACCGUGCCCAACCCCUCAUCCAAGCCCAGCACAUCACUAUCUUCAGCCAAAUGUCUGGGAUAGGUGUGGUUAAUAGCAGUCUACUGUAUGCUUUGUGCAAAGCACGUCUUCCUCUUCAGACUCCUCCACUGGUGCCCGUCACUACUUGGGCCUUCCUGAGCAAGACCUGUCUGACAGCUGCAGCCCAUUGCAGGCCAGGUAGGAGCUGAGAUUAAAAACGAGACCUUGGACUGUUCCACGUGUCAGUUACUUCUGAGUGAUAUCCUCAGAAGCUGCAGCCAACGAGAUGAACAGGCAGCUGGCCAGUUAUGCAGACAGACCAACUGGGAAGGAAAGAAAGGGAGAUCUUGUCUCAGGACUCGUUGUGUUACACAUAUUAAAA
ensembl:lncRNA